GAUAAAAUACGUUGAUAACAUGGUGGUGUUAUUUGCUUGUACGAUGUUUAUGUACUUUGAGAAAAGGUUGUGCGGUGUUGUUAAGAGGAUUCAUUUUAGUCCAUUAUACUCGGAAACGUCCACAGAAUCGUCAUGUUUGGACGCUUCAUAA